UACGAAGGGUGCAAGCGUUAAUCGGAAUUACUGGGCGUAAAGGGUGCGUAGGCGGUUGUUUAAGUCUGUCGUGAAAUCCCCGGGCUCAACCUGGGAAUGGCAUUCGGGACUGCAAGGCUGGAGUGCGGCAGAGGAGACUGGAAUUCCUGGUGUAGCAGUGAAAUGCGUAGAUAUCAGGAGGAAUACCGAUGGCGAAGGCAGGUCUCUGGGCUGACACUGACGCUCAUGCACGAAAGCGUGGGGAGCAAACAGG
rnacentral:rRNA from 1 species